AAUAAACUUUAUUUUUUAUGUCCAAUGUUUGACUGUCCGUUUUAUUUAAAAAAAUUAUAAAAAAAAUUAAAAAGAUAAGUCACGCAUAAAGUAUUAAUCAUGUUUUAUCAUCUAACAACAAUAAAAAUACUAAUUAUAAAAAAUUUUCAUAUAAGACAGACAGUCAAACAUUGAUAUGGAAACGGAAACCCACGGUUUGUUUUUUU
rfam:Oryza sativa (indica cultivar-group) chromosome 2, whole genome shotgun sequence.